rnacentral:lncRNA from 1 species
CAGGUGGGAGUGAGCAAAUGUGCUGUCUCGCCACCUCGGGACAGGUGGUAGGGCCUCUGACACAGAGUGGUCCUUCCUGCUGUUCACAGCUCAGCUCACCGUGGGCUGACCAUAGGUUCUCGUUGAAAUCCUAACGCCCCAGGCAAUGAUGUUAGGAGGCGGGGCUUCUGGGAGAUGGCAAGUUCGUGAGGCUGCAGCUCUGCUGGGGGAUCAGUGUCCUUCUACAAGCGGCUCCAGGGAGGUCCCUUGCCCCUUCCACCAUGUGAGGACCCGAGAUGGUGCCGUCUAUGAACCGGGAAGUGAGUCCUCUCCGGACGUGGAACAAGUUGGUGCCUUGAUUUUGAACUUGCAGCCUCCAGGCCUUGGUGAUACAGGACAGAGGUGCCCGUGCAGGUUGUGCCUGUGGCUGGGUCCCCAGGGAGAAGGUGGCAACCCCAGGCCAGCAGCCUCCUACCCUGAACUCCAGGCAACAUCGUCGGCCCCCUGGCACUGCACCUGCACUGUGGGCAGAGAAGGAGGGAAGGCUGGGAGAGGAGGAGGAGGUCGAAUGUCGCUGGAGGUCGGCGUCCUUCUGCAGCCGUGGGUUCAUGGGGUUUAAGUACGAUGAUGCUGCAUUGAGACGUUGUACUGUGUGAAGUCAGGGCCUUCUGUGCAUCGGUCGAGGGUGCAAUGCACACGGCACCCCCGAGCAGCCACCCAUCCUCCCUUCCCUCCACCCUGCGAUGAGCCGCUGCUUGGGGUGAGCAUGCUUCCUGCUGGAUGCUUCUCUAUGUAAGCACCUGCCUGAGUGUCAGCCCUCUUAAGGUGAACCGCUCCGUGUCAUUCGUACAUUCACAAGUUUGUGCCGCCAUCAUCGUGAUCGGAUUCCAAAACAUUUUCAUCACCUCCAAGAAAGCCUUGUACCUGGCAGCAGUCACUGUCUCUAUGGAUUUGCUUAUUCUGGACAUUUCAUAAAAAUAGAAUCAAACAGCAUUUGGGAGCACCUGUUGAAGAAUCAUGACCACGGCCACUAGCACGUUUGAAGUCACACACAGGGUAGCGCCGGCCUGGACAGAGGCGGACAUCUGACAAGCGGGCCAAUGAGGAUGACAUCUCGGACGGUAGUCACUGCUACAACGAAAGUCAGUG